GAUGAACGCUAGCUGGAGGCUUAAUACAUGCAAGUCGAGCGGGAUUGGGUAGCAAUACCCAUGAGAGCGGCGCACGGGUGAGUAACGCGUACACGACCUACCUCUAACAGGGGGAUAGCCCUGGGAAACUGGGAUUAAUACCGCAUAUUCUUCUGAAUAAUGAAGGUUUGGACUGAGAGCUGAGGCGGUUAGAGAUGGGUGUGCGUCUGAUUAGCUAGUUGGUAGGGUAACGGCCUACCAAGGCGAUGAUCAGUAGGGGGCGUGAGAGCGUGGUCCCCCACACGGGUACUGAGACACGGACCCGACUCCUACGGGAGGCGGCAGUAAGGAAUAUUGGUCAAUGGGCGAAAGCCUGAACCAGCCAUCCAGCGUGCAGGAAGAAGGCCCUAUGGGUUGUAAACUGCUUUUAUCAGGGAAGAAACCUCUGGAUUUACUCCGGAGCUGACGGUACCUGAAGAAUAAGCACCGGCUAACUCCGUGCCAGCCGCCGCUGUAACAC
rnacentral:rRNA from 1 species